rnacentral:tRNA from 1 species
GGUGGCUCAGUGGUAGAGUGCAUGCCUUGCAAGCAAGAAGCCCUGGGUUCGAUUCCUCAGCACCA